rnacentral:lncRNA from 1 species
GAGCUGUCACACAGACCUAGGUUUUCUGCCUCUGAUUUGUCAGAGGGGUGUGGAGACGUUUCUUCUUUCUUUUGGAGGAUUCUUCUGUGACCUUUUCCACCCCCGCCCAAUUCAUAGGCUGAACAUCUCACUGAAAGAAAGAAAAGCUUAGUUUUUAGGGAAACUGACAGAGAAGUUGGGAGAUCCAAACACUUGGCUUUCUCAAGGCAAGCACUGCAGAGGCUGUGCAGGUCGAGUCCAGAGAAGUUCCACAAAGAAUCUACACUACUCAACCAGGCACAUGCAGACAGCUCAUCGGUCCAAGGAUGGAAAAAUGAAGACGACAUGACUCUGGAAUUUGGAGAGGUGUCAGAGUAAAAAGCUGAGCAGAAGCUCACUAUGCAUGGACAGUGUCCAGAGGACCCCAUCAGAAGUUGAAGGCCUGGAGCUUACUGCAGAGUCUUCUGUGAGUCUGUCAGGAAACCAAGUGCCUGCACUGGGAGGCUGGAGACUCUGAGCUAGGAGCCUGGAGACAGACGUCCAGAGGCAUUGGUAAAGAUGGGAGCUCUUCCAAAGAAGCAAAAAGUCUCUGCUGGCCAUGUGAGAUGACUGACAACAGCCUUGAAGUCACAGCUCCCUAGGAAGUCCCCUCGGAGGUGCUAUGAGUGGAGCAGCGCUUCGCCACCAUGCUCUUCCAUUGUACUGUUUCUGCCUUGGAGCCAGCUGACCAUGGACUGAAACCUCUGAAACCAUGAGCCAAAACAAACCUCUCCUUUUUAAAGUUGCAGGUGUCAGCAGGACCGAAAGGGAUUCCCAAGUGACUGAAAAUCCUCUUCAGAGAAAGACGAAAGAGCGUCCUAAACGUACAAGGACCAGGGCUUUACCCAUAGUCACACCAAAGGAAUGCUGAAAGAAGCUCUGGAGGUUUACAUACUUUGCAAUUCCCCAUGUUUCUACAGUAUAAAGAGAAACUGUGUUUGUACACUCUUGCACCAAGUUUAGCAGAAAACUUUUCUUUGGGGCUCUUCUAUGGGGUUGAAGUUCUCCAUGUAUGAACAAUACCUAUGCAUAUCAGGUCUGCUCAUUCUACACGCUGCAUGGACUUAGGGGAGUAUCUUUAUAUGUGGAUCUGUAAAUACACCGC